GAUGAAGAACGUAGUGAAAUGCGAUAAGUAGUGUGAAUUGCAGAAUUCAGUGAAUCAUCGAAUCUUUGAACGCACAUUGCGCCCCUUGGUAUUCCAUGGGGCAUGCCUGUUCGAGCGUCAUUUGUACCUUCAAGCUCUGCUUGGUGUUGGGUGAUUGUCUAUCUUUUUAGACUCGCCUUAAAGUCAUUGGCAGCCGGCAUAUUGGCCUGGGAGCGCAGCACAAGUCGCGCUUCUUGUCAUGAAUGUUGGCGUCCAGUAAGUCUACAUAUUUUGCUCUUGACCUCGGAUCAGGUAGGGAUACCCGCUGAACUUAAGCAUAUCAAUAAGCGGAGGA
rnacentral:misc_RNA from 1 species